UAAGACAGAGGUCCCGAGCGUUAGGCGGAAUCACUGGGCUUAAAGCGUGUGUAGGCGGACUUCUAAGUACCUUGUGAAAUCCCACGGCUCAACCGUGGAACUGCUUGGUAUACUGGUUGUCUUGGGCCAUCUAGGGGCGAGCGGAACAAGUGGUGGAGCGGUGAAAUGCGUAGAUAUCACUUGGAACGCCAAUGGUGAAAACAGCUCGCUGGGGAUGUGCCGACGCUGAGACACGAAAGCCAGGGGAGCAAACGGGAUUAGAUACCCCGGUAGUCCUGGCUGUAAACGAUGUCGACUAGAUCGUAGUGGCUCUGACGCUAUUACGGUCGAAGCAAAAGUGCUAAGUCGACCGCCUGGGAAGUACGGUCGCAAGGCUA
rnacentral:rRNA from 1 species